rnacentral:rRNA from 1 species
GAUGAACGCUGGCGGCGUGCCUAAUACAUGCAAGUCGAGUGAACAGACGAGGAGCUUGCUCCUUUGACGUUAGCGGCGGACGGGUGAGUAACACGUGGGUAACCUACCUAUAAGACUGGGAUAACUUCGGGAAACCGGAGCUAAUACCGGAUAAUAUUUCGAACCGCAUGGUUCGAUAGUGAAAGAUGGCUCUGCUAUCACUUAUAGAUGGACCUGCGCCGUAUUAGCUAGUUGGUAAGGUAACGGCUUACCAAGGCAACGAUACGUAGCCGACCUGAGAGGGUGAUCGGCCACACUGGAACUGAGACACGGUCCAGACUCCUACGGGAGGCAGCAGUAGGGAAUCUUCCGCAAUGGGCGAAAGCCUGACGGAGCAACGCCGCGUGAGUGAUGAAGGUCUUCGGAUCGUAAAACUCUGUUAUUAGGGAAGAACAAACGUGUAAGUAACUGUGCACGUCUUGACGGUACCUAAUCAGAAAGCCACGGCUAACUACGUG